UCUCCAUUCUAGCAAAACACCUGCUUCUGUCUUUCUGUCUCUUUGUCACACUUUAACCUUUCAUCCUCUGUCUGACACAAGUUCCUCUCCUCAAAUGCCCCUACCUCUCUCAUCAUUCCUUGUCUUGUGAGUUACUUGGUUACCCUGCCAGUGCUGGUGCCAUGUUAAAAACAUCCAGUCCACAUUGUAACAUGGUUGGCAUUUGGAAGGGCAUCCAUGCU